rnacentral:rRNA from 1 species
AGUUUGAUCAUGGCUCAGGAUAAACGCUGGCGGCGCACAUAAGACAUGCAAGUCGAACGAACUUAACCAUUAGUUUACUAUUGGAGCGGUUAGUGGCGGACUGGUGAGUAACACGUAAGCAACCUGCCUAUCAGAGGGGAACGACAGUUAGAAAUGACUGCUAAUACCGCAUAUGCCUUAGAAUCACAUGGUUCAAAAGGGAAAGGAGCAAUCCGCUGAUAGAUGGGCUUGCGUCUGAUUAGCUAGUUGGUGGGGUAAUGGCCUACCAAGGCAACGAUCAGUAGCCGAACUGAGAGGUUGAACGGCCACAUUGGGACUGAGAUACGGCCCAGACUCCUACGGGAGGCAGCAGUCGGGAAUAUUGCGCAAUGGAGGAAACUCUGACGCAGUGACGCCGCGUGCAGGAAGAAGGUUUUCGGAUUGUAAACUGCUUUAGACAGGGAAGAACAAAGACAGUACCUGUAGAAUAAGCUCCGGCUAACUACGUGCCAGCAGCCGCGGUAAUACGUAGGGAGCGAGCGUUAUCCGGAUUUAUUGGGUGUAAAGGGUGCGUAGACGGGAAGUCAAGUUAGUUGUGAAAUCCCUCGGCUUAACUGA